rnacentral:Y_RNA from 1 species
AGCUGGUCCAAGUGAAGUAGUGUUUACAACUAAUUGAUCACAACCUGUUACAGAUUCCUUUGUUCCUUCUCCAGUCCCACUGCUUCACUUGACUGGCCUAAA